CCCUUAGAUGUUCUGGGCCGCACGCGCGCUACACUGACGAAGUCAGCGAGCAUGUCCUACGCCGACAGGUGCGGGGAAUCUUGUCAAACUUCGUCGUGAUGGGGAUUGAUUUUUGAAAUUCUUGAUCAUAAACGAGGAAUUCCUAGUAAGCGCAAGUCAGCAGCUUGCGUUGAUUACGUCCCUGCCCUUUGUACACACCGCCCGUCGCUACUACCGAUUGAAUGGUUUAGUGAGAUCUUCGGAUUGGCGCCACUGCAGCUCAGCAAUGGGCUUGGUGGAUGCCAAAAAGUUGAUCAAACUUGAUCAUUUAGAGGAAGUAAAAGUCGUAACA
rnacentral:rRNA from 1 species